rnacentral:lncRNA from 1 species
ACAACCUAAUCAAAUAUAGGUUUCAAGUUUUUUUUUUUCCUGAAGAGGCUAAAAUGAUAUUUAUUAAAUAGGGGAAAAUAUAAGAGGUGUAAAAUUACCCACUCAAAGAAACUACAAAAACAGGACUAAAAAAUAAAAUCAAACACAGAAGAAACUAGAAGAGCUAAAAACCAAAAGCCCGCUAGAAAACUGCUUAUAGGAAAACCUAAUUUUAUAUUUGGGGGAAAAACCUAAGAAAAUAGCGGAACACGGUUUCAUAGGGGGUUCAAAUCUAAAAUAGCAAACCUAAGCAAUGAGAGUGGUGGCGAGAUCUCAACAAAAGAGAUGCCGGCAGAUGUUGGAAUGAGAAGACCAAAAGCGGUGGGUGAAUCGGAAGUCCCGUUCGUGUUCGUCGUCGCAGAGACUGUGCUCAGAGAAGGAAGCCAUGUUCGUCGCAGAGAGAAAGUGAGAAAGUGUUUAGGGUUUUUUCGUGAAAAUACAGCGGAGAUAGAGAGAGAAGUUUGUGUUUAGGGUUCUUCAGUGUGUGUGUGUUUGUGAAAUGAAAAACAAGAGAGAAUGAAUUGUGUUUUCGCAGAGAAGAGAGAGCGAGCUAAUUUUUAUUUUUUUAAUUAUAAAUAAUUCCUUUUUAAGNNN